CAGCCACAGCAACAUGGCAUGUAGAAGUCCCCAGGCCAGGGAUCUAACCUGAGCCACAGCAGUGACAAUGCCAAAUCCUUAACCACUAGGCCGCCAGGGAACUCCUGUCACUAGUCGUUUUGAUGAUAGCCAUUCUAGCAAGUGUGAGACUAUAUCUCGUUGUUUUCAUGUGCAUUUUCCUGAUGAUUAUGGUGCUGAGUACCUUUUUUGUAUUGCUGACCAUGCGUAAGUCUUUAGAAAAAUGUCUCUUCAGGUCCUUUGCCCAUUUUAAAAACCAGAUUAUUUCCUCUUUUGCUAUUGAGUUGUAUGAGUUCCUUAAAUAUUUUGGAUAUUAAUCACUUAUCAGAUAUUCGGUUUACAAAUAUUUUCUCCAGUCUUUAGUUGCCUUUUCACUUUGUUGAUCUGUACAGGUCCUGAAAUAUGAGUAGGAGCUUUUUUUCAGGCACAGACUGAAGGAGAGACAUACUUUGGGUGUCCUACUGUUUCUAUUAUAAAUCAUUAAUCAUAAUUUGCAAGUGAUAUUUCUAGUUUGAUAAAAUUAAGUGAAACAAAAAUGUAACAGUUUCAGUACACUAUUUGUUACUAGUGUUAUGAUCUGGUGAGUCAUAUAGAUAAUAAAUUAUUUUCUUUCUUUUUCUUUACUUCCCUUUUUUUUUUUUUUUCUCUGCUUUUUAGGGCCAAGCCUUCAGCACAUGGAAGUUCCCAGGCUAGGGGUUGAAUUGGAGCUGCAGCUGCCAGCCACAACCAUAGCCACAGCAACAAAGGAUCUAAGCCGCUUUGGCAACCUACACCACAGCUCAAGGCAACACCAAAUCAUUAACCCCUGAGUGAGGCCAGGGAUCAAACCCAAAUCCUCAUGGAUACUAGUUAGGUUCAUUAUUACUGAGCCACAUCCAGAGCUCCUGGUAACAAAUUAUUUUCUUCUGAAGUAUCUUAUGGCUUCUUAAAUCCUGUGAAAGUUUUUCAAAGCCCUUUUGUCAGAAAGACAUAAAUAACUAGUUUAACAAGCAGUCUUCCCUCAAUACAGAAUAAACACAAAGCUUAUAUUUUUCUAAAUGACUUCAAUUCUUCUAUCCAAUCCCCCUGACUCAUCUCUUAAGGAUAUCCCAGUCAGAUCCCAGCUUUCGAAUCAUAUUCAGUUAUUUAAAUUACAGAUAUAACUGAAUCACUUUGCUCUACAGCAGAAAUUAACACAACAUUGUAAAUUAACUAUACCUCAAUUAAAAAAAAAUUCAGCCUCGUUUGACCUAUUUCUGCUCACUCAAGUGCCCCUCCUCCCCAAAGUUAGCCAGUUUGUGGCCUCUGGGAUUGAAAUGGAAAGUAAAGCUCUGUUCUUUUUUUCUUUGUCAGACAUCGUGCCAGACAAGUAUAGUAGGAUCUUCUUACUGCCAACUGUACUGUUUGUUUACAGAAGUCAAUAAACCCAUUAACAUUUUUAUUACCUACCGUUGUAUAUCAUCAACAUUUCAUAAUUAGAAGCAUGUGGUUGCCUCUUUAUAACUUUACAACACUGUUCACUUAAAUAUUUAUUGAUUACUCACUCUGUGUUAAAUACUGUUUUAUAGGUCAAACCAUAGCACAAGGGAAACAUUUGGUUUCAUUUGGCUGUAUUAUAUUUUUUAAGGUUCCCAGGCUAGGGGUUGAAUCGGAGCUGUAGCCACUGGCCUACGCCAGAGCCACAGCAACAUGGGAUCCAAGCCAUGUCUGCAACCUACACCACAGCUCACGGCAACGCCGGAUCGUUAACCCACUGAGGAAGGGCAGGGACCGAACCCGCAACCUCAUGGUUCCUAAUCGGAUUCGUUAACCACUGCGCCACGACAGGAACUCCAGGUCUGAAUUUCUUACCCAAUUCAUUUGUGGCAAAUGUAAGAAAAAUAUUUUUUGAUUUUUAGGGUCUUUGGGAUUUGAGAAAUUUGGUAAAGGACCUAGCAUUAACAACUAAGUUAUAUUACCUAUCCCAUAGUGGUCAGAAUCAUCUUUACUUUGGGAUCUAGAAUUUCAAACAGAAUUCAAAGGAACAUUUUUCAUGUAAAUUUUCCCUACCAGUUACUUGGCAGAAUUUAACACUUACUGAUAUUAUUUGACAUAACCAAUUUCAUUUCAUCUGCUUCACAAAAGGUCUUUUAAUUGAGUUUUCAUUUCAGAGUUCCCCAAAGACAUUUUAAAUCAUUAUGAAAUUUCUGCUAGCCCCUCGAUACAAAAGCUUUUGAUUCACACUUAGAUUUUAUCUUAUACCAUAAAAUUUCAAAAAUCAUAUAAAAGAUUCCUAAACCUUAGUCAUUCUGGUGCUGUAAUCUGAGAAACUUUGUCACAAAAAGUAUCAUUCAGAUUUUACUGCAGCUAACAUACAGUCCUUCAAAUAUCCGUGGCUUAAGCAAUAAAAGCCGAUGAGUAUGUACUUAGCUUAUAGAGAUGUAGUUUGGAAAAGACUUUUGGGAAAGCAAUUAGGCAUCAUGAAUCUAAUAUUAAACAUAUUUAUAGCCUUUGACACAGUAAUCUUGUUUUUGAAUAUAUCAUAAGGAAGAAAUUAGAAAUGAAAGUAAAGAUACAUGCACAAAUAUGUUCCUCAAAAAUGUUAAUUAUAAUAGCAAACAAUUGGGAAAAGCAAAAAGUUUACUGAAAUAGAAUGAUUCAAUAAAUUGUAAACAAAUUAGACAAAAAUAAAUCAAAAGACAUCCCGUUUAUAGAUUGUAAGAAUAAAUACUGUUAAAAUGUCCAUUCUAACCAAAGUAAGCUACAGAUUCAGUUUAGUCCCUAUCAAUGGCUACAACAAAUCAUCUUAAUGUACCCUUAAAGUAUCUUAUAAUUUUAUUUGUCUAUUAUAGUUCAAUAGAAAUUAAUUUUAAAAAUCUUUGCCAUGGGUUUAGUGGGGUGAGAAAAUGACACAAAAUCACAUGUACUGUAAUUAUAUUUUGUUUGUGUCAUUUAGGGAGACCUAAAUGGCUCUUUCAGACUCAGUACAUUGAAGUUGUUUAGUAAAAUAGAAAAAAAGCCUUAUAAUUCAAAAGGAACCAUAAAGGACACUAAAUUGCCAAAAUAAUCUUGAUAAUGAAGAAUUAAAGCUGGGGCCCCCACAUUUUCUGCUUUCAAAACCUAUUGCAAAGCUGCAGUAAUCAAAACAGUAUAGUUCUGGCAUAAAGACAGACAUGUAGACCAAUUGAACAGAAUAGAGAACCAAGAAAUAAACCCUUACAUAUACAUUAAAAUGAUCUUUGAUAGGAGAACCAAGACAUAUUUAGUACAAUGGGGAAAGGAUAGUCUCUUCAAUAAAUGAUGAUGGAAAAACUGGAUAUCCAAAUCCAAAAAAAUGAAAUUGGACCCUUAUAUCAAUCCAAAAAUAAACACGAAAUGGAUUAAAGUCUUAAACAUAAGACCUGAAACUAAAUUCAGAAUUCCUAUUGUGGCUCAGUGGUAAUGAACCCAACUAGUAUCCAUGAGGAUGCAGGUUCGAUCCCUGGCCCUGCUCAGUGGGUUAAGGAUCUGGUGUUGCCAUGAGCUGUGGUGUAGUUCACAGACACGACUCAGAUCUGGCAUUGCUGUGGCUGUGGUAUAGUCUGGCAGCUGCAGCUCCAAUUGAACCCCUAGCCUGGAAACUUUCACAUGCUGGGUGUAGCCCUAAAAAAGAAAGAAGGAAGGAAUGACGGAAGGAAGGAAGGAAGGAAGAAAAAGAAAAAGCUAAAUAAAAUUCCUGAAAUAAAAUUUAGGGGAAAUGGAGUUCUCUUGCAGUACAGAGGGUUAAAGAUUCGGAAUUAUCACUGCAGUGGCCUGAGGAACUUCCACAUGCCCCAAGCACAGCCAAAAAA
rnacentral:lncRNA from 1 species